UACGGAGGGUGCAAGCGUUAUCCGGAUUUACUGGGUUUAAAGGGUGCGUAGGUGGGUCUGUAAGUCAGUGGUGAAAUCUCCGGGCUUAACCCGGAAACUGCCAUUGAUACUAUAGGUCUUGAAUAUCCUUGAGGUGAGCGGAAUAUGUCAUGUAGCGGUGAAAUGCUUAGAUAUGACAUAGAACACCAAUUGCGAAGGCAGCUCACUACGGGAUUAUUGACACUGAGGCACGAAAGCGUGGGGAUCAAACAGG
rnacentral:rRNA from 1 species